AGCAAGCACCGGCUAACUCCGUGCCAGCAGCCGCGGUAAUACGGAGGGUGCAAGCGUUACUCGGAAUCACUGGGCGUAAAGCGCGCGCAGGCGGCCUAUUAAGUUGGAUGUGAAAGCCUACGGCUCAACCGUAGAACUGCAUCCAAAACUAUUAGGCUAGAGUCUGGGAGGGGAAGAUGGAAUUAGUUGUGUAGGGGUAAAAUCCGUAGAGAUAACUAGGAAUACCAAAAGCGAAGGCGAUCUUCUGGAACAGUACUGACGCUGAGGCGCGAAAGCGUGGGGAGCAAACAGGAUUAGAUACCCUGGUAGUCCACGCCCUAAACGAUGAAUGUUAGUCGCCGGGUGGCUAGUCUAUUCGGUGAUGCAGCUAACGCAUUAAACAUUCCGCCUGGGGAGUACGGUCGCAAGAUUAAAACUCAAAGGAAUAGACGGGGACCCGCACAAGUGGUGGAGCAUGUGGUUUAAUUCGAAGAUACGCGAAGAACCUUACCUAGCCUUGACAUAUUUAAGAACUCCGUAGAGAUACAGAGGUGCCUUCGGGAGCUUUCUUACAGGUGCUGCACGGCUGUCGUCAGCUCGUGUCGUGAGAUGUUGGGUUAAGUCCCGCAACGAGCGCAACCCUCGUCACUAGUUACUAACGGUUCGGCCGAGGACUCUAGUGAGACUGCCUUCGUAAGGAGGAGGAAGGUGAGGACGACGUCAAGUCAUCAUGGCCCUUACGGCUAGGGCAACACACGUGCUACAAUGGCCAGGACAGUGAGACGCGAUACCGUGAGGUGGAGCAAAUCUAUAAACCUGGUCUCAGUUCGGAUUGUAGUCUGCAACUCGACUACAUGAAGCUGGAAUCACUAGUAAUCGUAGAUCAGCUAUGCUACGGGUGAAUACG
rnacentral:rRNA from 1 species